CCCUUAGAUGUUCUGGGCCGCACGCGUGCUACACUGAGUGGAUCAGCGGGUCAGGUUGCGCGAAAGUGUUUCCUAAUCUUUAAAUCCGCUCGUGAUGGGGAUUGACGGUUGCAAUUUUCCGUCAUGAACGAGGAAUACCUUGUAAGCGCGGGUCAUCAUCCCGCGCUGAAUACGUCCCUGCCCUUUGUACACACCGCCCGUCGCUCCUACCGAUUGAGUGGUCCGGUGAGGCUUUGGGAUCUGAGAGGAAAGAGCGUUUCGCUGUUUCUGCCCGGAAAACUCAGUCGAACCUUAUCAUUUAGAGGAAGGAGAAGUCGUAACA
rnacentral:rRNA from 1 species